GAACUAGGCAGGGAGCAACACGGUUUUGUGCAGCAAGCACAUUAUCACAUUUUUUUGAGAUUUUUUUGAUUUCUUAGAGAAAGAGAGCAUUUUUAGAGAGACACAAAACAAGGUGUUAGGUGUAGAUUCAACCCAAGAUUUAUUGAGACAUCAUGAGUCAAGGAUGGAAUCUUCAUCUUUUCUUCAUCCUUUGCAAAGCUAUCAUAGAUAUAUGUAGCUACAUCUACCCUUGUGGGUUUUGAGGUAUUCAAACAAGCCAUUAUGUAAACUCUUGAUCAUUUAAUAUAUGGUUCUAGCUAUUUAUUCAAUAUUGUUGUUAUUCUUGCAUUUAAUGUUUUAUUGAAAUUCAAAAUGAUAUGGACACAUACUUUUGAAUCUAGAAAUAGAAUAACAAUCUAUCUUAAGUUAUCACUCUAGACAUGAAUGUUAAUAUUUGAUAAUCACUUUUAAUCUAGAACUUAAUGCUUUUGGGUAAUUUAAUCGUUUGGGAAAUCGUCGAUUAAGCUAUCCAAUCGACUUUGUGAUCGUUUAAAUGUUUGGGAAAUCGAUGUUUAAACGAUCCCUUAGAAAUAACGAUAUCAUUUGGACACGAAUGAUAUUGUUGAGUGAUUGUGAUAAUAUAGUUUAAAAAGCUAGAAUCUGUUAUUUGAUCGUGAGAUUGUAGUUGUUACGCUUGGUUGAGUGUCUCUGACCUCAAGCGAAAUGACCCUAUCUCUUCUCUAUUUAUUUUAUGUCAAAUAGUUAAUAUAGUUUACACAAACACACAUUUUAAAUCCAUACACUUAGAACAAUAUUGAUUGUUGAAUGACUUUAAUAUCACGCUAGUCCUUGUGGAGACGAUAUACACAAAAAUACUUACUUUUGAUUGAUAGAAAAAUACUACAUCAAUAACGUGCAACUUAUUCUUCAUUCUUCUUCCCAUCUUGAUUGUUAAAUUCUCUUGUUCCAGAAUUGCCGUCGUUUUCAAUUAUCGUGAGAAUCGUUGUUGUCCUUUUGAUUCUAGACAUUGUUAGAAUCGGUGUUGUUUCAAUAAUCACAUCAGGUAUCGUGACUUGAUUUUUCUUCUUGAUUUAAUUUUUCAUUUUCGUUUCUUUCUCACUACUAUCGUGACUUGAUUGCAACCGUUUCACACUUGUAAUGCGAAAGUGGUGGCUUUCAACUUUGGCAUGAAUUCCAAUGAUGCUUCCAUUUUUAUUUGGGUUUUGAGUUUGAUUGAGUUGUUUGAGAUUAUAUAAAAUAGUAUUUUAUCACACAUAUUUUGCGUUUGAUUAAGAUAAAUGGAUCUUCGAUGCGUUGAUUAUUAAUUUUAUUUUUGGUACAAUAUCGAUUAUUAAAUUUACUUUUGGAAUUUGUUUUAUUCAAAUCAUUAUAUUGUGUUGUUAUUUUGUUUUUGUUUCUGGUGUAUUUUGUGUUGCCGAAAUGAACAUUUGUUGAGAUUGUAACACGGUGUGAGAUCGGUUAAAGCUAUGGAAGAGAAGACAAAGUGAAAUAAAUAAAUAAUAAUGCUAAUACAAACAUGAAUUUCAUAAGGUGAGCGUUAAUUCGUGGAUAUAGCUUUUGUAAAGAAUGUCGAUCUCACGAUGUCUGGAAUCAAAUGGACGACAACGAUUCUCACGAUAAUUGGAAACAACGACAAUUCUGGAACGAGAGAAUUGAACAAUCAAAAUGGGAAGAAAAAUGAAGAGGAAAUUGCACGUUAUGCGUGUUCUAGGUUUUGGAAUGGAACAAAAUUUAUGAACGUAUAUGAUGGGUUGAAUUUGAUGUGAAAUUUUAAUUGUUACAAGCCCUAUAGUGUAAAUUAAUUAAAAUUGUUUACCUAAAUAUAAUUAAAUAAAAAUUGUAGGAUUAAAUAUGUUUUUGGUCCCUAUAAAUAUACCAACCUUUCGUUUUAGUCCCUCUAAAAUUUUCCUUCAACUUUUAGUCCCUAUAAAAUUUUUAGUCACAACUUUUAGUCCUUAUUUUUAAGUUAUUUUUUUUUUUGUAUUUUUUAAUGAAAUUGUGCAGAAAUGUGUAGAAUAUUGUAAAAUAAAUUCGCAAAAAAAGUUAGAAGUUUUUAACAAAACACAAAUUUAAUAUGAAUUUUUAACCGUAAUAAAUGUACAAAUUCAUAUUAAAUUCAUGUUUUGUUAAAAAAUUCUAAUUUUUUAGGGAGAGAUUCUUAUAAUAUUAUGAAUUUUUUUGAAAAUUUUUAUUCAAAAAUACUAAUUCUACAUAUGAGUUUAUUUAAAAGAGGGACCAAAAGUAGUGAUUAAAAAUUUUAUAAGGACUAAAAGUUGAAGGAAAAUUUUAGAGAGAUUAAAAUGAAAAGUUGGUAUAUUUGUAGAGACCAAAAACAAAUUUAACUCAAAAUUAAAAGUUAUCUUAUUAAAAUUGAUUUUUUUUUAUAGAAAAAUUGACUCAGUUAUUUGACAUUUAAUGUUACAUUUGUAAAUUGCAUUUUGAUUGGUUGAUAUAUUGAAAGGGUAAAUACCCCUAAUAGAAGAUGACAUUUUGAUAAAAAAAUAAGUGGAUGUAGCUUAUUAACUUGCACCUUAAUGUUUUGGGUGGGUGUUAGCAACCCUAUAUAUAUAUAUAUAUAUAUAUAUAUAUAUAUAUAUAUAUAUAUAUAUAUAUAUAGGGAUUUGCUAGAACACACCCACUAAUUUUUAUGUGGGAGUGUUUUAGCAAGUUAUAACUAAAAAGUUAAUAAAUACACCUUAAGGUGUAUGUUGCUAUAACACACCUUCUAGAAAAAGCAAGUGGGUGUGUUCUAGCAAAUCCUAUAGGCAUUUGCUAGAAUACACCCAUUUAUUUUUUAAAAGGAGUAUAUACAUGUAUGCAUGCAUGUAAUUGAUGAUGUGCAUUAUUGCAAUCUUUAUACAUGUAUGUUAGGUCCAAAUGUCAUGCAUUAAAAUUUUAUAACUCAUAAUGUAUUUAUGUUCAUGUCCAGCAGGGGUAUUGAGCUGGAUAUUCACCAUCAUUUACAUAGUCAAGGACAAGCUUAGUACAAUGAACAGUUGGGGCAGGUAUAUACAUUAUUAUGAAGUUAAGUUUCGAAACUAUAAUUUGCUUUACAGUGAGGGAACUUGAAAAUAUGGCAACUGACCAUAACACGCUGCAGUCAGAGUUGUUGUUAUGGUUGCCAUGUAGUUUAUUACUUGAUAGUCUAUCUGUCAUACAUACAAUCAGGGUUUUAAAUAACUGUCGUGGUUUCUGUUGUUUUUGGAUUUCCAAACUGUUAUAUUUGGAUUUCCAAAUUCUAUUAUCUACCGAAGUUGUUACUAGGUUGAGUCACGACCAGGUCGCUCUCUUUAAGACAUUUCGUGGCACUACCUAAAAUUGUGCAAGGCAGACUAUCAACCACGCCGCCUCCAGGAUAAAACAAGCCCAGCUGCAACUGUGCGGUUAAUACUGUACUAUAGAAAACCGUUCGAGAAUUACACCCUCAAAUAUGGUACUAAGACCACUCUUUAAUACUGAAACCACUUUAAUAUUACCACUCUGUUAUGGUGCUGAGACCACUCAAAUAUGGUGUUAACACCAUUCUAACUUUAAGUUCUCCAAACUAUCAAUAUGGUACUACGACCACUCAAAUAUGGUGAUACCACCAUUUCUUCUCAAAUAAAAAAUAUUGAAAUACUUUUUAUAUAUACUGUUAAGAUCAUUCUUAAUUCCGACGGGACAUUGUUCUUCCAAAUAGGGACUAUGAUCUUAAAAGUACUCUUUAUUCUGAAGGGACAUAUAUUAUCGAAGGGACUAUGUUUUUAAGAUCAUUCUUAAUUCUGAAGGGACAUUAAACCGAAAAAGGGACUAUGGUCUUAAGAACACUCUUAAAUCCGAAGGGACAGAAAAAGGAGAUGAAGAGAAGAAAGACUCGUCAACACAAGUCAAGAAAGAGAGAAGAGAGAAAGAGUUCCCGACAACUCAAUGAAACUCUUUGGUGUUUUUUGAACUGAGUGGAGUCCUCUAUUUAUAUAGAGAUUCUGUAACUGUUUUAGCAAAAAUUGCGACAACAAUUACUCUAAUGGAUAAGAUUAAAAUGGAGUUUUAUCCAUUAAUCAGUUCAACAACACUUGUGGAUAGGAUCAAAAGAAACAAAUCCACAAAAGUGGAGGUAACAAACUAUUGGAUUUGAAUGAAUGAAAUAUAAUAAUAAUUAAAUUAUUAUUCUUAUCACAACCACCAUAAACUAAAUUUAUGGAAAGUGAUAUUCUCAAAUAAAAAUAAUAAUUACUAUUAUUUUUAUCAUUAUCAAGUAUUUAAAAUUAAAUACCACAAUUUAAACACUACUAAUGUGUGUGUUCUAUUUUAUGCGGGACCCCCACACUCUAUUUUUUCAAUUCACACAACAUUAGAUCAAAGUAUAAUUACUUGGUGUUUAAUCUUUCAAUUUUUCAUCCAACAUCACAUCAAUGUUCCAACAGUUUUGAUCGCGGUCACGUUAAGGUUGUUGCGAUUUCGAGUGUUACGGAUGUUGCGUUACAGAUUGUGGUUGUCGCGGUGUGAAUUAAUCACAACAAUGCACAAAUAUUAUUAAAUCAUUUAUUCUAUCAUAUAGUGUAUAAUAACUUAAUUUGAACUAUUAUUUUAUAUAUUUUAAGAUUGUUAAAAUAAAUAUAAUAAUUACGACACUUUAGGACAUGAAAUAGGCAAUGAAAGAAAUAUGGGAGAGUAUUGGCUCAUCACAGUCUCUCAGUAUCUAUUUUCAUCUCACCCUGAAAACAGGUAAAAAUGGUAUCAGUGACCACCUAUACCUUUUUGUCGGGUAUAUGCCUUAUCAAGUCUGUAUGGCUCAUUGUUGUUUGCUUUUAUUCUUUCUUUCCUUUUUUGGUUUUAUUAGGGUAUUGAAAAUGACAUUCAUUUUGGUUGGUGUUGUUGCAGGCUUGUAGCUGUUCUUGAGAUUGCAAAGGUCGACUCACCGAAGUUACUUGAAUAACUUUGGUGGAAAUCUUGUUUGUUUGGUACUAUAGACUAUACAUUAUCUAGAAGGAAAAUGCUACAGUACACGACAAAUUCUGUCGUCAAAUUUGCACAAAUCAACGUAUAAUUGUAGUUUGGUAUUUUAUCUUAAUUUUAAUUUGAGUCAAGGUGGCUAAAUAUGUCUCUGAAGUGCAAAGACACGUUUCCAUGUUGUGUAUUUUCCAAAUCAUGCAUGUCUUUGUCUCAUCUUACCAUUGACAUGUGGAAAGGUGGAUAUCCUUAGAUGUGUAUGAUAUCUCUUUG
rnacentral:lncRNA from 1 species